rnacentral:rRNA from 1 species
GUGGGGAAUCUUAGACAAUGGGCGCAAGCCUGAUCUAGCCAUGCCGCGUGAGCGAUGAAGGCCUUAGGGUUGUAAAGCUCUUUCAGCUGGGAAGAUAAUGACGGUACCAGCAGAAGAAGCCCCGGCUAACUCCGUGCCAGCAGCCGCGGUAAUACGGAGGGGGCUAGCGUUGUUCGGAAUUACUGGGCGUAAAGCGCACGUAGGCGGAUCAGAAAGUCAGAGGUGAAAUCCCAGGGCUCAACCUUGGAACUGCCUUUGAAACUCCUGAUCUUGAGGUCGAGAGAAGUGAGUGGAAUUCCGAGUGUAGAGGUGAAAUUCGUAGAUAUUCGGAGGAACACCAGUGGCGAAGGCGGCUCACUGGCUCGAUACUGACGCUGAGGUGCGAAAGCGUGGGGAGCAAACAGGAUUAGAUACCCGAGUAGUCC